rnacentral:rRNA from 1 species
UACGUAGGUGACAAGCGUUGUCCGGAUUUACUGGGCGUAAAGAGCGCGCAGGCGGUCGUUCAAGUCGAGUGUGAAAGCCCCCGGCUCAACUGGGGAGGGUCAUUCGAUACUGAUCGACUCGAAGGCAGGAGAGGGUAGUGGAAUUCCCGGUGUAGUGGUGAAAUGCGUAGAUAUCGGGAGGAACACCAGUGGCGAAGGCGACUACCUGGCCUGUUCUUGACGCUGAGGCGCGAAGGCCAGGGGAGCAAACGGG